rnacentral:rRNA from 1 species
UGGGGAAUUUUGGACAAUGGGCGCAAGCCUGAUCCAGCCAUGCCGCGUGCAGGAUGAAGGCCUUCGGGUUGUAAACUGCUUUUGUACGGAACGAAAAGACUCCUUCUAAUAAAGGGGGUCCAUGACGGUACCGUAAGAAUAAGCACCGGCUAACUACGUGCC